UUUAAUGAGAGUUUGAUCCUGGCUCAGGACGAACGCUGGCGGCGUGCCUAAUACAUGCAAGUAGAACGCUGAUGUUUGGUGUUUACACUAGACUGAUGAGUUGCGAACGGGUGAGUAACGCGUAGGUAACCUGCCUCAUAGCGGGGGAUAACUAUUGGAAACGAUAGCUAAUACCGCAUAAGAGUAAUUAACACAUGUUAGUUAUUUAAAAGGAGCAAUUGCUUCA
rnacentral:rRNA from 1 species